AUUUGAAUGAAGAAGUUAAUAAAGCUAGUGCAAUCCAGUAAAAGAGAGAAUAUCCAAAGAAAAGGUUUAGUCUAAGACCUAUGUUUUUGGCAAUUCUUUACCAUUUUCCUUGACCAUGAAUGGCGAUAUAAUCCAUAUGUAUUCUACCUUCAAGAAUAGACCAAGCUCCUCUACUGAAUCCUUGCUUUGAUCAGUCAGUUUGUGUAGAUCUACAGGUGAUACAAAUGUUUUAGCAGCUAGUGAUGG
rnacentral:misc_RNA from 1 species